CUCUGCUAUGGAAGAGUCCACAGAAGUAAUAGGUUAGUUAGUCUGUUUCUUUCGUUUGUUUUUGAGACAGGGUCUCAUGCAGUCCAGACUGGCCUUGAACUCCUGCCUCAGCCUCCCGAGUCCUGGGACUGCAGCCAGGUCACAGAGUCCAGACGCCUGGCGGGGACCACAGAGCACAGGAGGGCAGAGCAAGAGGGGCCAUCUGGAGACUUCACAGAGAACUGGGAUCCUGGCAAGAGAUGGGGACACCUCAGUUUCUUGUGUGGUCUUCCCUAGUCUCCAGAGUCCAGAGAGGUCUUCGCACCCCACUCACCUUUGAGCACGGAGACAUCGUACACCCUCCAGUUCUGGUUUCCCCAGAUCUGAGACUGGCCUGUCUACUUGGAUCUGGGUCACCAAGAUGGUGGAGGAGCCUUCUGCAGGGCUGCGGAACCAGGGAACUAAGCCAGGUAUGAUAGCACGUGCCUGUAAUACCAGCACUCGGGAGGCUGAGGAAGGAGGGUUGCAAUAUACAGGAAACACCAGGCCAGCCAAGGCAAUUAAUAAACAAUGCCCUGUCUCCAAACAAACAGGGAACUGUAUAUAACUAGGACCAUGGUGCCGCUGGGUCUCUCCAGGACUAAAAGCAAAGAGAAUUCAAAUAAAGUAAGUCUGUCUUCUUGAGUCAUGUGCAUUUUCAGAAGUGCUAUGGAGAAAAAAAAUAGCAGUCCCUCCCAACUUUUCAAAUAGCUGCAGAAUCCCCCACCUCCUGCCCCUUACCUGCAGCAGCCUGGGGGUGCCCACACAAGCACAGGAGGAGGAGGAGGGCAACUGUGACUGCCAUGGGGAGAGCCUGCCAA